rfam:Streptomyces griseoaurantiacus M045 Contig011, whole genome shotgun sequence.
GGCCAAGUUUUUAAGGGCGCACGGUGGAUGCCUUGGCACCAGGAACCGAUGAAGGACGUGGGAGGCCACGAUAGUCCCCGGGGAGUCGUCAACCAGGCUUUGAUCCGGGGGUUUCCGAAUGGGGAAACCCGGCAGUCGUCAUGGGCUGUCACCCGCUGCUGAACACAUAGGCAGUGUGGAGGGAACGCGGGGAAGUGAAACAUCUCAGUACCCGCAGGAAGAGAAAACAACCGUGAUUCCGGGAGUAGUGGCGAGCGAAACCGGAUGAGGCCAAACCGUAUGCGUGUGAGACCCGGCAGGGGUUGCGUGUGCGGGGUUGUGGGAUCUCUCUUUUACGGUCUGCCGGCCGUGAGACGAGUCAGAAACCGUUGAUGUAGGCGAAGGACAUGCGAAAGGUCCGGCGUAGAGGGUAAGACCCCCGUAGUCGAAACAUCAGCGGCUCGUUUGAGAGACACCCAAGUAGCACGGGGCCCGAGAAAUCCCGUGUGAAUCUGGCGGGACCACCCGCUAAGCCUAAAUAUUCCCUGGUGACCGAUAGCGGAUAGUACCGUGAGGGAAUGGUGAAAAGUACCGCGGGAGCGGAGUGAAAUAGUACCUGAAACCGUGUGCCUACAAGCCGUGGGAGCGUCGGAUGGGAGCUUGCUUCCAUCUCGUGACUGCGUGCCUUUUGAAGAAUGAGCCUGCGAGUUUGCGGUGUGUUGCGAGGUUAACCCGGGUGGGGUAGCCGUAGCGAAAGCGAGUCCGAAUAGGGCGUUUGAGUAGCACGCUCAAGACCCGAAGCGGAGUGAUCUAGCCAUGGGCAGGUUGAAGCGGCUGUAAGAGGUCGUGGAGGACCGAACCCACCAGGGUUGAAAACCUGGGGGAUGACCUGUGGUUAGGGGUGAAAGGCCAAUCAAACUCCGUGAUAGCUGGUUCUCCCCGAAAUGCAUUUAGGUGCAGCGUCGUGUGUUUCUUGCCGGAGGUAGAGCACUGGAUAGGCGAUGGGCCCUACCGGGUUACUGACCUUAGCCAAACUCCGAAUGCCGGUAAGUGAGAGCGCGGCAGUGAGACUGUGGGGGAUAAGCUCCAUGGUCGAGAGGGAAACAGCCCAGAGCAUCGACUAAGGCCCCUAAGCGUACGCUAAGUGGGAAAGGAUGUGGAGUCGCAGAGACAACCAGGAGGUUGGCUUAGAAGCAGCCACCCUUGAAAGAGUGCGUAAUAGCUCACUGGUCUAGUGAUUCCGCGCCGACAAUGUAGCGGGGCUCAAGCGUACCGCCGAAGUCGUGUCAUUGCAGCAUGUACUCCCAACGGAGGCUGUGAUGGGUAGGGGAGCGUCGUCUGCCGGGUGAAGCAGCCGCGUAAGCGAGUUGUGGACGGUUGACGAGUGAGAAUGCAGGCAUGAGUAGCGAUUCACACGUGGGAAACGUGUGCGCCGAUUGACUAAGGGUUCCUGGGUCAAGCUGAUCUGCCCAGGGUAAGUCGGGACCUAAGGCGAGGCCGACAGGCGUAGUCGAUGGAUAACCGGUUGAUAUUCCGGUACCCGCUGUGAAGCGUCAAACAUCGAGCAUCGUGAUGCUAAGGCCGUGAAACCGCC